rnacentral:rRNA from 1 species
GACGAACGCUGGCGGCGUGCUUAACACAUGCAAGUCGAACGAUGAAGCCCAGCUUGCUGGGUGGAAGAGAGGCGAACGGGUGAGUAACACGUGAGUAACCUGCCCUGAACUCUGGGAUAAGCACUGGAAACGGUGUCUAAUACUGGAUACGACCUAUCACCGCAUGGUGUGUGGGUGGAAAGAUUUAUCGGUUCUGGAUGGACUCGCGGCCUAUCAGCUAGAUGGUGAGGUAAUGGCUCACCAUGGCGACGACGGGUAGCCGGCCUGAGAGGGUGACCGGCCACACUGGGACUGAGACACGGCCCAGACUCCUACGGGAGGCAGCAGUGGGGAAUAUUGCACAAUGGGCGCAAGCCUGAUGCAGCAACGCCGCGUGAGGGAUGACGGCCUUCGGGUUGUAAACCUCUUUUAGUAGGGAAGAAGCGAAAGUGACGGUACCUGCAGAAAAAGCACCGGCUAACUACGUG